rnacentral:piRNA from 1 species
CUACAGUCAAUAGUUGAGCAGUUGAGCAGC